rnacentral:rRNA from 1 species
CGAGUGGCGGACGGGUGAGUAAUGUCUGGGAAACUGCCUGAUGGAGGGGGAUAACUACCGGAAACGGUAGCUAAUACCGCAUAACGUCGCAAGACCAAAGAGGGGGACCUUAGGGCCUCUUGCCAUCGGAUGUGCCCAGAUGGGAUUAGCUAGUAGGUGGGGUAAAGGCUCACCUAGGCGACGAUCCCUAGCUGGUCUGAGAGGAUGACCAGCCACACUGGAACUGAGACACGGUCCAG